CCCACACCGGCAGCCAUACCUCUAUUAAUGCUUGUCAAUUCCUCCCUUAGGUGCCGGCCACCAGCCACGCUGCAGCAGCCCUGAGGGACGACAGGAUCGCUUCAAUAUCCAUCACCUCAAGCUGUGUUAAUCUGCAGGCCCAGGCAAACAGGAGCAGGAGGACAGGAAACGGUUUGCUGGCCCGAAUCCCAAGUGGCACUGAGGUAAGACCUCCCCCACACUAACUUACACAGAACAUAAUCCAAC